CCCGCCACUGCACCCGAUCAGUUUCUGUUGGCUGGUGCAAUCCAGUGGUGAGCUGAUAGUAAACCCCAGUUUAGGAAACAGCAUUGUUCUUCAUGUGGAUGACUCUGUGCCGAAAGCAUGGGAACAGCC
ensembl:snoRNA small nucleolar RNA SNORA65